AGUGAACGCUGGCGGUAGGCCUAACACAUGCAAGUCGAACGGCAGCACAGUAAGAGCUUGCUCUUACGGGUGGCGAGUGGCGGACGGGUGAGGAAUACAUCGGAAUCUACUUUUUCGUGGGGGAUAACGUAGGGAAACUUACGCUCAUACCGCAUACGACCUACGGGUGAAAGCAGGGGAUCUUCGGACCUUGCGCGAUUGAAUGAGCCGAUGUCGGAUUAGCUAGUUGGCGGGGUAAAGGCCCACCAAGGCGACGAUCCGUAGCUGGUCUGAGAGGAUGAUCGGCCACACUGGAACUGAGACACGGUCCGGACUCCUACGGGAGGCAGCAGUGGGGAAUAUUGGACAAUGGGCGCAAGCCUGAUCCAGCCAUACCGCGUGGGUGAAGAAGGCCUUCGGGUUGUAAAGCCCUUUUGUUGGGAAAGAAAAGCAGCAGGUUAAUACCCCGCUGUUCUGACGGUACCCAAAGAAUAAGCACCGGCUAACUUCGUG
rnacentral:rRNA from 1 species